CCUAGAGUGGCCGACAACAGACAAGAAGAGAGCGUCUGGACUUUUCAUCAGUGAUAAGCAGCCGCCGUGCAUAUUGGGUGAUCCUCAUUCACUGCUGAAGUGCGCACAACCUACUCAAGCUUAUUUUGGCCACUGAGUCUCCACGCUUACUAUUUUAUCCCCAAGUGCUGACGUUUUUCAUUCCACAUGCGAAGCCCCCCGCCGGCCUGCCCUGUGAACCAGGCCGGCAGCCUCCCACCAAGACACCCCGCCCGGCAAGACACGCCAACCAGUACCGACCGUGAUUCUCUCCCGCUGCCACUGGACAACAGCCGGCGGGAGGUUGGUGCAAGUUCACUGGCUAGUCCCGCAACACUGACAAUGUUUUCAAUUAUAACUUCAAAGCCAAUCUAUCGAUACGAACGGGGCCUUCGAUUCGUUUUACACAUCACCGGCGCGGCCAUAACCGAGAGCAUCAAGCGGGCAGGGGAGUCCCUGGAACGGCGCUCUAUCGCCGCUUUGUCCCACCGAAGAGACUGGGUUGGUCAAUAUGAAAAGGAGACAGUUUUACCUUUCG